GCAGAGGUGGUGAAACGGCAGACACGUACGUUUCAGGUGCGUAUGCUUUAAACAGCGUGAGGGUUCAAAUCCCUUCCUCUGCA
rnacentral:tRNA from 1 species